ACAUUAUUCAACACGUCCCCAUAAAUGGAAUGUAAAGCAUGUGCUGUGUGUGUACUGGAGACUACUGGAGUGUGCAGGAGGUUUUUGUACGGCUGCUUAAUCAGUCUGUAUCACUGUGGCGCACUUUUGGUGGAGGAACCAGACUGGCUGUUGGAAGUGACAGGCGCCCCAGGCUGACGCUGCUUCCCCCCUCCAGUGUGGAGCUGCAGCAGGGGAAGGCCACCCUGGUGUGCCUGGCCACCAAGGGCUUCCCCUGGGACUGGAGGCUGAGCUGGAAGGUGUCCGGGAGCAGCUUGGAGGGGAGCCAGAGCCCUGCUCUCCUGGAGAAGGACGGCCUCUACAGCUGGAGCAGCAGCCUCACCCUCACCCAGGAGCAGUGGAGGAAGCAGCCAGCCGUCACCUGUGAGGCCACCCAGGGCACCCAGCAAGCCGUCACCCAGGACAUCAACACGGGGGACUGUGCCCAGUAGAGCCGCGGCACACACACACACACACAUGCUUACAGAGAGAUAGAGACA